AACGAACGCUGGCGGCAUGCCUAACACAUGCAAGUCGAACGAGACCUUCGGGUCUAGUGGCGCACGGGUGCGUAACGCGUGGGAAUCUGCCCUUCGGUUCGGAAUAACAGUUAGAAAUGA
rnacentral:rRNA from 1 species